GACGAACCGUGCGAACGUUGUUCGGAAUCACUGGGCUUAAAGGGCGCGUAGGCGGCCUGCCAAGUCAGGGGUGAAAGCCCCCAGCUCAACUGGGGAAGUGCCUUUGAUACUGGCGGGCUCGAGCGAGGCAGGGGUCGUGGGAACUUCCGGUGGAGCGGUGAAAUGCGUUGAUAUCGGAAGGAACACCGGUGGCGAAGGCGGCGUUCUGGACUGCUACUGACACUGAGGAACGAAAGCCAGGGGAGCAAACGGG
rnacentral:rRNA from 1 species